GCAGAACCAGUAACACCAAUGAUUAAUCCUAAGAUAAAUGCAUGGUGUGUAUAAAGGUAUAAUCCUCCCAAUAUUAUUAUUAGAUAAAAAUAAUAUUGAAUGAACUGUUUAAAAAUGUUGUAGAAACGACUCAUUUUAUAUGCCUCCGUGUGACUGAUAUCAAUCAUGAAAACCGUUCCACUCAUACAAACUAAAUGAUAAUAUAGGCGAUUUGUGGUGUCAAUUCUAUUCAAAUUGUUGUAAAAAAUAAGCAUAGUCAGACACAAUUUAGACACAAUUAGACAAAAAGCCUAUUUUCCUCAGAAAUCGCUUGGUUUUUCAGUGAUUAAAUUCAAAUAAUACUUAAUAUGAUUAACUAUUCUUUCUGAAGCAAAUCCAUCACCGUAAGGAUUAGAUGCUUCAGACAUUUGAUGAUAUAAUCUCUCAUCAUCGAUUAAUUCUUUUGCAGC
rnacentral:sRNA from 1 species